GAUGACAUGGUUAAGGUUAUUGCUUGGUAUGACAAUGAAUGGGGUUACUCACAGAGGGUUGUUGAUCUUGCUGACAUUGUUGCAAACCAGUGGAAAUGAAACAUGAAAAUAAAAUAAAGCAGUACUACUAAAUAGUGGCUUAAUUUAUAUUUUUUUAACCUUGCUUGUAGAUUCUUAUUCCUUUUUGAAAAUUGUAAUGAGAACUAUAACAAUUUUCCACCUUGUGAAAUCUCAAUUCAAUAAAAG
rnacentral:misc_RNA from 1 species